AUUGAACGCUGGCGGCAUGCCUUACACAUGCAAGUCGAACGGCAGCACGGGAGCAAUCCUGGUGGCGAGUGGCGAACGGGUGAGUAAUAUAUCGGAACGUGCCCAGUCGUGGGGGAUAACGUAGCGAAAGCUACGCUAAUACCGCAUACGAUCUAUGGAUGAAAGCGGGGGAUCGCAAGACCUCGCGCGAUUGGAGCGGCCGAUAUCAGAUUAGGUAGUUGGUGAGGUAAAGGCUCACCAAGCCGACGAUCUGUAGCUGGUCUGAGAGGACGACCAGCCACACUGGGACUGAGACACGGCCCAGACUCCUACGGGAGGCAGCAGUGGGGAAUUUUUGGACAAUAGGGCGCAAGCCUGAUCCAGCAAUGCCGCGUGCAGGAUGAAGGCCUCGGUUG
rnacentral:rRNA from 1 species